GCGUUGGUGGUUCAGUGGUAGAAUUCUCGCCUGCCACGCGGGAGACCGGGGUUCGAUUCCCGGCCAACGCA
rnacentral:tRNA from 1 species